GACGAACGCUGGCGGCGUGCUUAACACAUGCAAGUCGAACGGUAAGGCCCUUCGGGUACGACGAGUGGCGAACGGGUGAGUAACACGUGGGUGAUCUGCCCUGCACUUCGGGAUAAGCCUGGGAAACUGGGUCUAAUACCGGAUAGGACCAUGGACUUCACGGUUUGUGGUGGAAAGCUUUUGCGGUGUGGGAUGGGCCCGCGGCCUAUCAGCUUGUUGGUGGGGUAAUGGCCUACCAAGGCGACGACGGGGUAGCCGGCCUGAGAGGGUGUCCGGCCACACUGGGACUGAGAUACGGCCCAGACUCCUACGGGAGGCAGCAGUGGGGAAUAUUGCACAAUGGGCGCAAGCCUGAUGCAGCGACGCCGCGUUGAGGGAUGACGGCCU
rnacentral:rRNA from 1 species